rnacentral:rRNA from 1 species
UGCCAGCAGCCGCGGUAAGACGGAGGGUGCAAACGUUGUUCGGAAUCACUGGGCAUAAAGCGCACGUAGGCGGCCAAGUCAGUCUGGUGUGAAAGCCCCCGGCUCAACCGGGGAACUGCACCGGAUACUGCUUGGCUCGAGGACGGUUGGGGUGAGUGGAACUCCUGGUGGAGCGGUGAAAUGCGUAGAUAUCAGGAGGAACACCAGUGGCGAAAGCGGCUCACUGGGUCUCUUCUGACGCUGAGGCACGAAAGCUAGGGGAGCGAACGGGAUUAGAUA